GAGGAGGCGUCCAUACGGACGGAGUCCGUAUUUAAGAUGACGCCGACGACAUGCCGCAACGCGGAGCGUUGGGGCGAUUCCCA
rnacentral:sRNA from 1 species